ACGUAGGGUGCGAGCGUUAAUCGGAAUUACUGGGCGUAAAGCGUGCGCAGGCGGUUCGUUGUGUCUGUGGUGAAAGCCCCGGGCUUAACCUGGGAAUGGCCAUGGAAACUGGCGGACUUGAGUGUGGCAGAGGGGGGUGGAAUUCCGCGUGUAGCAGUGAAAUGCGUAGAGAUGCGGAGGAACACCGAUGGCGAAGGCAGCCCCCUGGGCUAACACUGACGCUCAGGCACGAAAGCGUGGGGAGCAAACAGGAUUAGAUACCCUGGUAGUCCACGCCCUAAACGAUGUCAACUGGGUGUUGGGGAAGCAAUUUCCCAGUACCGUAGCUAACGCGUGAAGUUGACCGCCUGGGGAGUACGGCCGCAAGGUUA
rnacentral:rRNA from 1 species